CCGGGCUUUACAAUCCAGAGAUAGACUUGGCUAAACUUACCGAUCUAACUUAACGCUAGCUAACGAAUAAUGCCUGCAGCAAAUAGGGCUAGGGUUAAAAAAAAAAAAAGUGCAGUCUCACUUUCAAACCACCAGGCGUUAGCUAUCGUGCUAGCUAGUGUGCCACCUUCAAGGAAGCCUUCACCGUUAGCUUACGGUGUAGUAUGGCGCACUGGCUGCAGGAGCUAAGCCCCGGAUAAGUAGCUGGCCGGAUAAACGUUGCUAUGCAAGCACAGCAAGUUGUACAGGAGCGGUAAGCCGUGUGGAAAAGCACUUUUCUGGAGGACAGAUUUCCCACUGGAGCCACAGGAACAUGAAGGAGUACCUGGAGACUCAGCUAUCACAUUCAUAAGCCUCAGACUGUCUUCAGUGGAUUCUGUGAUGCAGCAGCACCACCUACUGGCUGAUGUGGCUCAGUCUUCAUGAAGCGGCACAGAGACCAGGUCCAACGAGUCCAGGUCUCUUCUCUUCUGACCUAAAGACUAAAAGUUUCCUCUGGUAAUACAACUAAUAAAAACUUUAUUAAUUGCUUUAUAUUGUUUUGAAUCAAGAUGAAAACAUAACAGACGUGUUGUUGCACACAAUGCUUUUCUCUUCUGCUGCAGUGUUUAACCACAUCAUUCAAAUCCUAAAGCCAUGAAAUGUACUGAUUUAGUUUAUUAUAAAAUGAUGAAAAUAAUGUAAAAGUUAAAGUGGAAGAGUUGAAUGAAAGUCACUCCAGACCGUGUCACUACAGGAGAGUAGAUCUGACCUGAGAGGAGUUUGUAACAUUAGAAAAUGGAUUAAAUGUGUUUCUAUUGUUGGAGUUAAAUUAAGGAACAAUAUGAAUAUACAUUUUAAAACAUGUAAUUUCCUUUUUGUUUUGAAAACAGAUAUUUUCUGAGGUGUUUUCUUUUUGGUAGGUGGAUUAAUUGAUAAGAAUGUGGGCGGAGCCUGAGACCAUUGACUGUCUUUUUUCUGUCUAUAUUAUUUAUAUUUACUGUUUUAUAUGAUGACUGAAUAAAACGUCUUCUAUAAAUCUACUUUAAUAAUAAACGGAACAUGAAGUGACAAGUGAAGCAUGUUGAGGAGGAGAUCAGUUCAACAGUCAUAGAGUUUAUUCUGAUUAUAGACAUUAUCAACAUUUUAGUAACAAGCAGUUUGACUUUUAUUUCCAUUAUUACAUCUGACUGUAUAAACAUCUUAUUUAUAAUUUUCAGUCCCUUGAAUCAGAUGAUCUGAUGCUGCGACUCAACAUAUUCAACAGUGACUGGAGCUGAACGCAGCGUCAUGAGUCAGAUCAGUUUGGAUCUGAGUUACGUUGAUGUUUAUGGCUCAUUGUUGAACUUUGACCUUUUGUCACUUCCUGGUUGAGUAUCAGCACUGGACCAAUCAGAUCAAGUGUCAUCAGUAUUUAACAAACAACAGGUUAUUUUACAAGGAAGACAUUUUUCUCUGUGUGUGGUCCACGAUGUGAUUCAUGAUACUUCAUCAAUGUUCACGUUCGGGCUGAUUAUUAUUAAACCCACUGUGCCAUGAAUAAAGCAGCACAGUUCUCUGUUUGUCUGGACACUCACACUUCAUCCAUCUCCGGAGGUUCCUCAUGACAGCUGAGAGAAAAUCCUCAGGUGACAAACGAAGACGGAGAUCUCCAUGUUUGUUUCUUCAUGAACAGUGUCACAUGACUGAAGGACAGAGUGACUGUGAGAGAAAGUAAAGAACCGUGGUAACGUUUGAAUCUGUUCAUGUGGAACCAUGAUUCAAGAUGAAACUAAAUUUGUACAAAAGUUUUUCAACAUGUUGAAUUCAUCUGUUUUAGUUUUUUAACUUGAGAAACUCAUAAAGUCUCAAACCUAUUGGCCCCUUUACAAAAGCCUCCCAGCAUUUAACAAGUACAAAUAAGGACAUGGAACGCAGCCCUUCACUAACUGACAGGAACAGUGACGGACUCACAUCUGGUUCUUAAUCAAACAAACAGUCACUCUGACGUUACAGCAGCAAACAGACACACGGCUCCGGUCUCUACUGAGGACGUCUGUGGACAAACCACAACAACAAGUGACUCAAGGAGCUGAAUCUGAGGACGUGUGUUUGACCUACAUCUGCUCAGAGAGAGAGAGAGAGAGAGACAGAGAGAGAGAGACAGAGAGAGAGACAGAGAGAGAGACAGAGAGAGAGAGACAGAGAGAGAGACACAGAGAGAGAGACAGAGAGACUUACUGAAGCAGAUAUAGAAACAGAUGUGACAACAGAAAACCAGAGUAACACAUCUGCUUAAUGCAGUUCACCUCUAUCAAAACACACACACACACACACACACACACACACACACACACA